GAGGUGGUCUGCGCGAAGUAUUUCACCAUGAUGCUCGAGGGAACGGUGCGCGCAUGGUUGAAAAACCUGCUGCCCAAUUCCAUCCACACCUGGGCCGAGUUGAAGGAACGUUUCAUCAAAAAUUUCUGAGGAACCUCUAAACGCCCGAUGACCAUCGUUGACCUGCAACACUGCAUCCAACGCCCGGAUGAGUCGGCCCAUCAUUGGACGCGGCGGGUUGCAGAGGUCAUUCAUUCAUCAGAUGGCAUCUCGGCCGCUGAGGCAGUGCUAAUUCUGGAGAAAAAUUGUCAUUACGAGCCUUUGGUGCUGAAGCUCGGGAAGCUCAAGCGUAAGGUGCAGGACAUGGGCGAGUUGAUGGACACCGUGACCAGGUACGCCGAGUCAGACGACACUAAAG
rnacentral:lncRNA from 1 species